rnacentral:rRNA from 1 species
CCUACGGGUGGCAGCAGUGAGGAAUAUUGGUCAAUGGCCGGAAGGCUGAACCAGCCAAGUCGCGUGAGGGAAUAAGGCCCUAUGGGUCGUAAACCUCUUUUGUCGGGGAGCAAAGGCGUCCACGUGUGGACGAGAGGCGAUUACCUGAGGAAAAAGCAUCGGCUAACUCCGUCCCAGCAGCCGCGGUAAUCCGGAGGAUGCGAGCGUUAUCCGGAUUUAUUGGGUUUAAAGGGUGGGUAGUCGGAGUUUCAAGCCAGCGGUAAAAUUGUGGGGCUCACCCCCGUCGUGCCGUUGAACCUGACGUCCUUGAGUGAGUGAGAAGUAAGCGGAAUGCGUGGUGUAGCGGUGAAAUGCAUAGAUAUCACGCAGAACGCCGAUUGCGAAGGCAGCUUACCGGCGCUCAACUGACGCUGAGGCACGAAAGUGCGGGUAUCGAACAGGAUUAGAUACCCUAGUAGUC